rnacentral:ribozyme from 1 species
ACUCGAUCAGACGAGUAUAAACAGGUGUUAGGUCUGAUGCGUGGGGGCUUUCUGCCCCCGGUCACA